GAACCUGCGGAGGGAUCAUUACCGAGUUUACAACUCCCAAACCCCUGUGAACAUACCAAUUGUUGCCUCGGCGGAUCAGCCCGCUCCCGGUAAAACGGGACGGCCCGCCAGAGGACCCCUAAACUCUGUUUCUAUAUGUAACUUCUGAGUAAAACCAUAAAUAAAUCAAAACUUUCAACAACGGAUCUCUUGGUUCUGGCAUCGAUGAAGAACGCAGCAAAAUGCGAUAAGUAAUGUGAAUUGCAGAAUUCAGUGAAUCAUCGAAUCUUUGAACGCACAUUGCGCCCGCCAGUAUUCUGGCGGGCAUGCCUGUUCGAGCGUCAUUUCAACCCUCAAGCCCUCGGGUUUGGUGUUGGGGAUCGGCGAGCCCUUGCGGCAAGCCGGCCCCGAAAUCUAGUGGCGGUCUCGCUGCAGCUUCCAUUGCGUAGUAGUAAAACCCUCGCAACUGGUACGCGGCGCGGCCAAGCCGUUAAACCCCCAACUUCUGAAUGUUGACCUCGGAUCAGGUAGGAAUACCCGCUGAACUUAAGCAUAUCAAUAA
rnacentral:rRNA from 2 species